ACAACCAUAACAACAUGAACGGAAUUAAUCAGUGCGCACGACUAGUUAAAAACAAACAUCCUUUGACCAGAAGUUUCUAAUUAAAUCAUGACUGUGUCUGAGCAGCAUUAUUAUGAGAGUGAAGGUGGAUGUGCUGCUACUUCCCACUCCCCUUGAUGAGCAACAAGCACCUGCAUUGAGUAAUGCAAGAGUGAGAUGAAACAUCUCAGCAAGCUAAUUGUUCUGACGAGAUAUUUAAACCACAAAUUGAAUUAAUCAACAUUUUAAAAGAAUCACAAUCAAGAUCAGAAAUACUUGUAGAUAUAGAACUUAGUAGUCCCAAUAUAACCAAUAUCAUCUCAUUUCCUCGAAUAACCACAAUAGGUUCUAUAACACUUCCCCGCGUCAACAAUACCUGCAAAUAUCACUUCAAUGUAUGCAUAGGAAUGCAAUGUGUAGGUACUCUAUCUUCAUACCUCUGAGAGUAUAAAACCACAUCAUCUGCAAAUAUCACUUCAAUGAAUGCAUAUGAAUGCAAUGCAUAUGUCCUCUGCCUUCAUACCUCUAAGGGUAUGAAGCCGCAUCGUACCCCUCCUCGGGCAACGUACGAUGCUAAAUUGUACCGGUACGGUCGGACCAUAGGUCACGACAAAACUUCAGAUGCAAAUGAGUCAUGCAAUGUAUAUGGCAUGCUGCAUUUAUCAAUAACCUUCACUUCCUUCAGAUACAAUACAAACCUCAAAUAAUACUUUAUUUACCUUCAGAUACAAUACCAACCUCAAAUAAUACUUCAUUUACCUUCAGGGGUGUGAAUUAAUCUCAUGAAUCAUACUCGAAUCAUAAUCAUCAUCAAUAUAUGAUUGAGCAUCAGUAUAAUGCAAGCAAGUAAAGCAUCACCAUAGAGUCCAAUUAUGAAAGAAUCCAAUACUUCUGAAUAUUAGAGUGUAGGCAAUAGAAAUAACAGGUCAGAACGGAAGCAACCACCGCUACAUUCACUUGCCUUCAUCGAAGAAGAAGAAAUGUACUAGACAUAAUCUGGAGUGUAGCCACCUGCUAGCGGGCAUAAAACUUAGUACAAAUAUUUCACAAACAUUUGCCAUCAAUCAACAAAACACUCCUACACUUGAAACCAAGACCCAGUGGAAAGACUCCCACCCUGAACCACAUGCCAUACAGCAGCAGCGCUGUUUGUUAAUUUUGCAUCUUUAAAAUUAAAACAGCGGUGAUAUCAAACAAAUACUCUAGGAGUAUCUACACAAAAUACUCUACAACUUCAGUAUUCAAUGGAUGAUUAAAUUCUGCCAUCUACAAGUUCUAAAACAUCUCACAAGAUAACUGACUGAAUCUGUUUUAGACAACAGUAUGGUUCACUUUAAAAUUCGAUAUCUCCCAAACUACUGAACCAAAAAUUAUUAAAUUCUGCUGGAAAUAAGAACUUGUAUCCCUCUACAAAAGUCUCCAUAGUUGGAAGAGCCAAUUCGGCCAUUUACUAGAUGAAACCCACCAGUGAACAGACUCACUCAUUUUUGUCAGGCAAACAGGAACAGCCACAGUAAAACAAACAUAACUGGAGUUUCACAAAUCAUAUGAAUGCACUCUUUAACAAUCUGGAAAGCUUAUGAAAUUAUCUAUAACUUCUUUUACCAACCCACAGUUUAAUUCUGUUGAUAAAAUUGCCUAACUCUUAAGAGAACAGAUUCUGCACAGAAUUAUGAGACUGAAAAACUGCUAUAAUCAAACUGUCAUAACUUUCUGUUCUGAUGUCCGAUUGAGGUGUUCUUCGCGGCCACGGAAAGAUCUACAAAUUAUCUACGACUCAUAUAUAGACUUUUUAUUUUUAUGAGGCCACUAAGAUCACGGAAAACUGGUAUGAACAGAAACUGUCGAAUCUGCCAUGCUGCAGAAAACUAAAUUCGAGAUCAAAACCUAACCUCACAUCUAAUACAACCUCUAAUCCUUUAAUCCCCAUGAUCCACCACCUCCAAAAGCACAUAAUUACAGGGAGGAACAAGGAUCCCAUCAUACCUAGGGUUUCCCCAAGAAAAUAUGCAAGAAGAGAUGGGGAAGAACACCUCCUUGAUCCUCUCUUCCUCUUCAAUUCAACGUGCUCCUCCUCUUCUCGAUCCUUGCUGCGUAGGGGGAGAUCUUGGGGGAGGAAGCAAUGGAGGAUGGCUGCCAUAGGGGGAGGGGGCGGCCAGCCAAGGGGGAGAAAGGGGGUGGCGGCCAAGAGGGGGGGUGAAGGGAAAAAAAGGGGUGGCCACCUAGGGUUUUUUGUGGGAGAAAGAAACGACGCCUUAGAUGACUUCUAUCUUUGCAUCCAAUGGCCCACAACCCUUUACCUCAUCCACGCACCAAAGAUUAACUUUUGGUCAACAUUUUUUUUGGGAUAUUACAGGUACAGUAACCUGAAACGGAUCAGGACGCCAACUCAACUCGCCGCCGAUGAUCCCCGCCGCGAUUCGUGCCGCCGCCGUCCUGAUUCGUGCCCGGUGAGGAACGGAUAACGCCGGGGAUGGAUAACUCGUACGUGGCGCCAUCUCCCGAGUCCAGCCGGAGUUCUUCACCGGCGGCCACCUUGACUCGGUAACUUUCGCCGCGGUGUCACUCAUUCCACGAUCUGCCUCAUUGUGCCUCCUACCGACGUGGUAUGCAUGCGCUAGCAAUGCUAUCCGUGGCCGGAGAUCGUCUGUCGGGUCGCCGUGGCUAUAAAUAGCAUGGUGGUCCACGGCGAGGUGUGACCAUCACACACACAGUGAGUUGAAUCGAAGCCGAAUUCGCG
rnacentral:lncRNA from 1 species